GCCAGACUCCUACGGGAGGCAGCAGUGGGGGAUAUUGGACAAUGGGGGAAACCCUGAUCCAGCGACGCCGCGUGAGUGAAGAAGUAUUUCGGUAUGUAAAGCUCUGUCAGCAGGGAAGAAAGAAAUGACGGUACCUGACCAAGAAGCCCCGGCUAACUACGUGCCAGCAGCCGCGGUAAUACGUAGGGGGCAAGCGUUAUCCGGAAUUACUGGGUGUAAAGGGAGCGUAGACGGUGAUGCAAGUCAGGAGUGAAAGCCCGGGGCCCAACCCCGGGACUGCUCUUGGAACUGCGUGGCUGGAGUGCAGGAGGGGCAGGCGGAAUUCCUGGUGUAGCGGUGAAAUGCGUAGAUAUCAGGAGGAACACCGGUGGCGAAGGCGGCCUGCUGGACUGCAACUGACGUUGAGGCCCGAAAGCGUGGGGAGCAAACAGGAUUAGAUACCCUAGUA
rnacentral:rRNA from 1 species